rnacentral:rRNA from 1 species
GUUAUUAAAAACAUGGCCUUUUGAAUAUAAUUUAAGGUCUAGCCUGCCCAAUGAUUUAGAUUAAAUGGCCGCGGUAUUUUGACCGUGCAAAGGUAGCAUAAUCAUUAGUUUUUUAAUUGAAAGCUUGUAUGAAAGGUUGGAUGAGAAAAUAACUGUCUUUGUUUAAAUUUUUUAGAAUUUUAUUUUUAAGUCAAAAAGCUUAAAUUGUUAUGGAAGACGAGAAGACCCUAUAGAGUUUGAUAAUUUUAUUUGUUAAAGUUUUUAGUAUUAUAAUAUUUAAAAUGUAAAAUUAUUUAAUUGGGGUGAUUGAAAAAUUAAUAGAACUUUUUUUGUAUAAAAUCAUUAAUUUAUGAAAAUUUGAUCCUUUAUUAAAGAUUAAAAGAUAAAAUUACCUUAGGGUUAACAGCGUAAUUUUUUUUAAGAGUUCUAAUCGAAAAAAAAGAUUGCGACCUCGA